AUUACAUGUACGCAGCAUCACAUGACGCACGGCUUGAUGUCCUGGUAGGAGACCUGCUGGUGAUGAUGGUAGUAGGAGCCGCUGCUCGGCGAGUGCAUGGCCGAGGACGUCAUGGCGUUGAAGGAGAAGACGAACUCCUUCCGGUCACACAUACUGGGGGACUGGGUGUGGUACCGAGGGAUGCCUGCGUGCAUGCAAGGCCACAGGACGCCCGGGGAGUGAAGUGGAUUUCUCUGCCGGACUCUGAGCGCACAACUUCGGGUGCAGGAUGCAUGGACUUGAGCUACAAGGACCUUACUGCAGGCACCAUCUGAACGAUGCAUUGAAGCAAGCUGGCUCUGUCCCACACACCGAGUGGGAGCAAGUUAUUGGUGCCCCACCCUGUGGCUGAACACACCUCACAUACAGGGCCUCCCCAUCACGGUGUGACUGAGUUGCUAUUGAGCCGUCAAUAAUAGGAGAGGAGUCAAAAACCGCAGUGGAGAAGACAGGAAGAGACUUGGUGGACCACCACAGCAGACUGGAGUGGGCAGGCAUGUGGCUUCGGCCACAGGAAGCUGUGAAUUCUUUGGAGAAUGGAAGAUGUCUUGCUAGCCCCCCACCGACCCUCCACUCCCAUCUGCACCCCACCACCGCCCAUACGCUUACCCCAGAAUGACCCCUGACCCGUCUGUAUGUUUAUAUCAGAGCGUGGAAGUGAGAAAUAGUGAUGAGUCACUCUGGCCGUGUGUUUACACUCCAGAGUCACGCAAGGAAGGAAAUCAGCCACGGUCUGCUACAAGUGGCGAGCUGGGAGACAGAAUAGCUGCCACAGAGGCGCACCUUUCUAUAAGCGGGAGUUUAGGAUUUCCUUUACCUGAGAUCUGCUGUAAACGCUAUUGGCUUGCAAAACAUGCUAAACACUAUUUCCAAUGUACUCAUUAUACAUGUUUUGGCACCAUUACAGUGGAAGUGCACCACUGUUUUUUUCCCAUUGCAUGCAAUUCUAACCAUAUCAGUAUUUCUAGAGUGCCCAAGGUCCAGAGGUGAUUGAGAUUUUGCAGUAGCAACGCUCUCCCUCUGAAUCUCAGCGCUGCAUGCAACAUCUCUUGAGACUUUUAAAUCUUUAUUAAAAACACUUUUAUUUGUGCUGGCGUUUUACCGAAAGCUGAGCUGGACAUUGUAGUUUUUAUUUAUGUCUUUUCACUAUUGUAAUGGAUAUUCCUUAUUUUAUUUACAGUGACUAUUUUUAUUUUAUUUUUUUUAACUGAUUUGUUCAUUUAGUUGUAUUUUUCUAGCACUUAUGUAGAUCUUUAUAAAAUGUAUUUCUUUCUUUUUCCCCCCCAAUUGGCACUAUGAAAAAAUUGCGCUAAAAUAGGGAAGGGUUUUAUAUGGCCCUGUUCCUGGGUGGAUCUUGCGUGGGAGGAAAGAGGGGGUGGUGGAGUUUAUCAUUUUGCAGUGCAGUCUGCUGAAAAUGAUGGAAAGCGCCACUCUAUAUAGCGACUGACACUGUGGUCAAAGUUAGAAUUACUACAAAAUAUAUUUUAAGAUAUUCAACACUACUGGUGUGUGAAUGUGAGUGUGAAUGUUGUCUGUCUAUCUGCGUUGGCCCUGCGAUGAGGUGGCGACUUGUCCAGAGUGUACCCCGCCUACCGCCUGAUUGUAGCUGAGAUAGGCUCCAGUGACCCCUGCAACCUGAAAGGGACAACCGGUAGAAAAUGGAUGGAUGAAAUGGUGGUUAAAGUUGACAGUGCACUCAAUGACCUAAAUGACCACAUUUGGAUAUUUUAUGCAUUACGGGAACAAUGUACUUCCAAUUUCCGGUAACAAAUGUGUGUUCAAACAAACAAAUGUGUGUUGUAAUUAUGGCAGACUUGGUAAAAAUCAACAAAGACGACUAUUUUUGGACAUAUGAGGAUACACAACCUUAUCUUUUUGAAGCUUAAAUAUAUUGAGGAUGAAUUGCUGCUUAUCGAAGCGAGCAAGAAGAGAGGCUGAAAUAUUGGAGCAGACGGAAGCCGUGAAAGUGAGGUCGGCGUGACUUGAUGGUGUAAAUGUGGAGCUUGUAGCCAAGCUGUGCCGACAUAAUUGACGUGCUUAUCCAAGCUGAACCGGAAACAAAUGUUGGACCAAACGGACAACUGCUACUGAUACAAGCAGCACAUCACCGUACACUACACUGACUAAGCUGUCAAACUAGCUGUGUACAAAGAAAACAUACUAAUACUUUACAGAUACUGUAAUAUGAAUGUACAUGUUUUUCAGUCAGUUCAGAUUGGUGUCCUAUAGCAUUGUGUUGUGUAUUACAAACCAAAAGCCGUUCAGUUGUUGAGGCAGUCGCUAACUGACGGUUAAUAUGCCAUAGCACGCCGUCGCAAGACAAUGUGUUACUACGCUAGAAAAACAGUUCCUCAGUGUUCGCUCUUACAUUAACAAUGUCGCUACAGCUUGGUUAUUAUGCAGGUUACAGAUUGUAAAUGAACUAUUGUUGGCAUUUUCAAAGUGAUGUAGAGGCAGAAUGAACCGAUUAAUACAAAUUACAAUGCAACAAAAACCCAAAUCCUUUAGUUUUUUUUGUCUCUCAUAAGGAUUGUAAAUGAUAGGCAAAAUAAAAAAAUAAAAAAGUGCAGUUCCCCUUUAAGGCCUCUCUCAAACUGGCACAUUCUGAAUAGACAGCCAGAAAGCAACUUGAAGAUGGUUUGUAAAACAAAAUCUUUGCAACAUUUUGACCACCAUUACAUUUUAUGUAGACCACAAGGAAGUGUUUUAAAUUUAGAAAAAAAAAAAGGUCAAACUGUUCCCUUCAUAAAACCUCAAAUAACUUCACAAUCAUUAUCAAUCCCGCCUGCGAUUUGUUG